rnacentral:rRNA from 1 species
GAAUCCCGUCUUUGACACGGACUACCAGGGCAUUGUGAUGCGCUCUCAAAGAGUCGAGUUGUUUGGGAUUGCAGCUCAAAAUGGGUGGUAAAUUCCAUCUAAAGCUAAAUAUUGGGGAGAGACCGAUAGCGAACAAGUACCGUGAGGGAAAGGUGAAAAGAACUUUGGAAAGAGAGUUAAACAGUACGUGAAAUUGCUGAAAGGGAAACGCUUGAAGUCAGUCGCGUUGUUCGGGAUUCAGCUUUAGCUUCUGCUAGGUGGAUUUCCUGUUCGACGGGUCAGCAUCAGUUUUGGCCAGUGGAUAAAGGUUCAGAGAAUGUGGCAUCUUCGGAUGUGUUAUAGCUCUGGGUCGCAUACAUUGGCUGGGACUGAGGAACUCAGCACGCCGCAAGGCCAGGUUUCGACCAUGUUCGUGCUUAGGAUGCUGGCAUAAUGGCUUUAAUCGACCCGUCUUGAAACACGGACCAAGGAGUCUAACAUGCCUGCGAGUGUUUGGGUGGAAAACCCGAGCGCGUAAUGAAAGUGAAAGUUGGGAUCCCUGUCGUGGGGAGCACCGACGCCCAUACCAGACCUUCUGUGACGGAUAUGCGGUUGAGCAUGUAUGUUGGGACCCGAAAGAUGGUGAACUAUGCCUGAAUAGGGUGAAGCCAGAGGAAACUCUGGUGGAAGCUCGUAGCGAUUCUGACGUGCAAAUCGAUCGUCAAAUUUGGGUAUAGGGGCGAAAGACUAAUCGAACCAUCUAGUAGCUGGUUCCUGCC